rnacentral:rRNA from 1 species
GACGGACGCUGGCGGCGUGCUUAACACAUGCAAGUCGAACGGAAAGGCCCUGCUUUUGUGGGGUGCUCGAGUGGCGAACGGGUGAGUAACACGUGAGUAACCUGCCCUUGACUUUGGGAUAACUUCAGGAAACUGGGGCUAAUACCGGAUAGGAGCUCCUGCUGCAUGGUGGGGGUUGGAAAGUUUCGGCGGAUGGGGAUGGACUCGCGGCUUAUCAGCUUGUUGGUGGGGUAGUGGCUUACCAAGGCUUUGACGGGUAGCCGGCCUGAGAGGGUGACCGGCCACAUUGGGACUGAGAUACGGCCCAGACUCCUACGGGAGGCAGCAGUGGGGAAUAUUGCACAAUGGGCGGAAGCCUGAUGCAGCAACGCCGCGUGCGGGAUGACGGCCUUCGGGUUGUAAACCGCUUUCGCCUGUGACGAAGCGUGAGUGACGGUAAUGGGUAAAGAAGCACCGGCUAACUACGUG